ACACGGAAGUAAUGGAUGGAACCAGACACGUAGCGGAACGGCCUGCCAUCCUUCAAGAACUGGUUGUUGUCAUAGUCAAUGACAAAGCUUCUUUCCUGGCUGCCCUUAUCUGGGUGCUGUGAGUCGGGUAUAUAUGGUACCCUUUGAAGAUGAGGAAGAGGUUGACCAACCACGCCCUCGACCUUCCACUUCCUAUAAAGUAGCUGACAGUCAAGAAUGGGGCAUCGAGGUAAAAGAAGACAUGACAGGCACCCUUUUCCUAUUCACUCUCCCGUCCAACCCUCUCACAUUCCAUCCCCCCAGCAGGAGAAGUAAAUAUGAACAGUGAAGGAGGUGCAACGAGAUCAUUA